rnacentral:rRNA from 1 species
GACAGAGGGUGCAAACGUUUGUUCGGAAUUACUGGGCGUAAAGCGCGUGUAGGCGGCCCUGCAAGUCGGAUGUGAAAUCCCACGGCUCAACCGUGGAAGUGCAUUCGAAACUGCAGGGCUAGAGUCCUGGAGAGGAAGGUGGAAUGCUUGGUGUAGAGGUGAAAUUCGUAGAUAUCAAGCGGAACACCGGGUGGCGAAGGCGGCCUUCUGGACAGUGACUGACGCUGAGACGCGAAAAGCGUGGGG